GAUGAACGCUGGCGGCGUGCCUAAUACAUGCAAGUCGAGCGAACAGACGAGGAGCUUGCUCCUCUGACGUUAGCGGCGGACGGGUGAGUAACACGUGGAUAACCUACCCAUAAGACUGGGAUAACUUCGGGAAACCGGAGCUAAUACCGGAUAAUAUAUUGAACCGCAUGGUUCAAUAGUGAAAGACGGUUUUGCUGUCACUUAUAGAUGGAUCCGCGCCGCAUUAGCUAGUUGGUAAGGUAACGGCUUACCAAGGCAACGAUGCGUAGCCGACCUGAGAGGGUGGACGGCCACACUGGAACUGAGACACGGGCCAGAGUCCUACGGGAGGCAGCAGUAGGGAAUCUUCCGCAAUGGGCGAAAGCCUGACGGAGCAACGCCGCGUGAGUGAUGAAGGUCUUCGGAUCGUAAAACUCUGUUAUUAGGGAAGAACAAAUGUGUAAGUAACUAUGCACGUAUUGACGGUACCUAAUCAGAAAGCCACGGCUAACUACGUG
rnacentral:rRNA from 1 species